GACUGGUCCACAGGCAGUGAGUUAUCUCAAUUAAUUUCACAGUUACAGAUCGAACUCCUUAUUCUACUCUUGCCUUCCUUCUCACUAUUGCACUUGACUAGUAUUAA
rnacentral:Y_RNA from 1 species